GACUCCUCACGAGUGCUAGCUCGUUGUAGAGCCCUUUUGACGGUGGAUGCUGAUCGAACUCCUUCAAUCGAUGUCUGUCGAUUCUUUGGAUGCUCUGAAUCAUCAACAGAUGUGCUUGAGAGGAUGUUGAAGAUCCCCCUAAGAUUUUGUGAGCUCACGACACUCGUAGCUCACUUUCACUUCCCGAACCCUAGGCUAAAACUCUAGGGAACUCAACGGAAACCUUGCACGCACUUUUCUUUCUUUUCUUUCUUUUUCUUUUGGAAGGAUAUGGACUUCCUUCUCAUGCAAAAGACUUCUCACGCCCUAGAAUUUUUCUCCAAAAAACUUCUUCUUGCACGCCCCACUCUUCUCCUCCUUUUAUAACAACGUCAAAUAUCUUAUCCAAAAGAAAGGAUAAAGAUGAGUAAUUGUACAUUUGAAUUCAAAUCAAAUUUUGAAUUCAAAUGGACACCAACUCAUCCCUUAUCCACU
rnacentral:lncRNA from 1 species